UGCAGGAGAGGCCCCGCGACCCUGUCUGGGGAACCUCCGGAGGCAGCGCGUCCCAGGAGCCCGCAGAAGCGCCCGUUAGGCUGCGCGCCCGCGGGGGACCCGCCGCGCCGCCCCGCCCCGCCCCGCACCCCCGCGCCCGGCGCCCGCCGCCCUCUCCCCUCCCUGCCUCCUCCUCCCCACAUUCCCUUCCCGAGCCUCUCCGGGGCCCCCCUCCGUCCCCGCCAGCGCCCCCUCCCCGCGCCGGCCGCGGUGAAGUUUCGCCCUGCGCUUCCGCUUGAACCGCAUCCAGCUGCCUCGCCUUUAAAAUGCCGGGGCGGCCGCGACUCCGCGCUCAGCCCCUGUCGGCCGCCGGGCCGGGCUCGCCCGCACCUCCGGGGCGCUGACUCAGCCGCAGCCGCCCUCCCCGCCGAGCCGGGCCUGCGCUGCGCCCCGCGCCCCAGCCCCGCCGCCCGGGACCCGCGAGCGCACGGGACGGCCUCUCCCGAAGUCACGACUCAGUCGGCCGUCAGCGCUGUCGCGGCCAAAGCCUCGAUGUCCAGGCCAGCCCUGCACAACCAUGGAGAAGCCCGAGUACGGAAAGAAACCUGCUUCUAGGUGUAAUGCCAUUGCAUCUUUUAACCAUCACUGAGUCACGAACAGAGGCCCGGGAUUGCUCCAAUUUCCGUCCGUGCACCAGAAAGACUCUUUCUGUUUGCCUUUGAUCUGUCACGUGGUAUUUUGUCCCCUUUAUAAUAGAGAGUGGACUUUGGAAUUAGAGACAGUUUGCUUCUUUGGAGGACAAAGAGUCUGAUAGCUUAGUAGCCCAGGGCUUUGGAUUCAGGGCAAGAAACGUUUAUCAUCUAUUUUUAAAGGUACUUUUUCCGGCAAAAUAUUUUUCUGAUGAUUCAAGUUAUAGACGGCUUUAUAGAAGUUUGGGGAAAUACUGAAAAAUAUAGCAGAAGGGAACAACCACUGCCUACCAGGCCAGGCACAGAAGGAACCUUUUCGAGGUCCCUGCAGCUUCUGCUUCCCACCCCCCAUGCGCAUACCUUUGCUGGCGUCGCUAUUUGCUUGUCUGCCUCAGUGGGAUCUGUAAGGGUGAAACCCUGUGAAUUGUGAAUCGUGGUCACAAACACAGGAGACUGCAGCAUGGGGGAAGGAGCAUUCGGAGGGCUUUGGAUGGCGGGCAGGUGUCAUUUCAGGUAGAACAGGUGGCAGAGGGGGUGGGGAAGAAGGCAUAGAGCCUCGGGGUGGCUUUAUUUUUUUUGAUUAUUUUUUUUCGGGGUGGCUUUAUUUAUUUUUUUUAUUUUAUUUUUAUUUUUAUUUUUAUUUUUAUUUUUAUUUUUUUAUUGGUGUUCAAUUUACUAACAUACAGAAUAACACCCAGUGCCCGUCACCCAUUCACUCCCACCCCCCGCCCUCCUCCCCUUCUACCACCCCUAGUUCGUUUCCCAGAGUUAGCAGUCUUUACGUUCUGUCUCCCUUUCUGAUAUUUCCCACACAUUUCUUCUCCCUUCCCUUAUUUUCCCUUUCACUAUUAUUUAUAUUCUCGGGGUGGCUUUAAAUGUGCCUCCAGACUCCCCAGUCCUUCUUGCCCCACAACAGGUGCAUCUGUAGCCCCUCCCCCUGAGCCCUGCUGGGGUCUGGGGCCAGCUCAGUGAAUACAGUGGGGUGAAGUGACACUUUGUGCCUGGCACAGCUCGGGGUGGUCUCUCUUGGGACCCUCUCUGCAACCCUUGAGCCUCUGUGCCCUCGGACAAAGCCCCCAGUGAGAAGCACCCAGCUGAGCCCAGUCAUCCUCUAGAUUCAUAAGCAAUGAUGGUGCUUUGUGAAUAAAUCACAGCAGCCUGCUCA
rnacentral:lncRNA from 12 species